rnacentral:rRNA from 1 species
AUUGAACGCUGGCGGCAGGCCUAACACAUGCAAGUCGAGCGGGGUUUUCGGACCUAGCGGCGGACGGGUGAGUAAUGCGUAGGAAGCUACCCGAUAGAGGGGGAUACCAGUUGGAAACGACUGUUAAUACCGCAUAAUGUCUACGGACCAAAGUGUGGGACCUUCGGGCCACAUGCUAUCGGAUGCGCCUACGUGGGAUUAGCUAGUUGGCGGGGUAAUGGCUCACCAAGGCGACGAUCCCUAGCUGGUUUGAGAGGAUGAUCAGCCACACUGGAACUGAGACACGGUCCAGACUCCUACGGGAGGCAGCAGUGGGGAAUAUUGGACAAUGGGCGCAAGCCUGAUCCAGCCAUGCCGCGUGUGUGAAGAAGGCCUUCGGGUUGUAAAGCACUUUCAGUAGGGAGGAAGGGUGUUGUGUUAAUAGCACAGCAUUUUGACGUCACCUACAGAAGAAGCACCGGCUAACUCUGUGCCAGCCGCCGCAGUAACAC